rnacentral:miRNA from 1 species
ACCCACCCUUCUCGACGGGGC